CGGACGGGUGAGUAACGCGUGGAAAACCUGCCGUAUACUGGGGGAUAACACUUAGAAAUAGGUGCUAAUACCGCAUAAGCGCACAGCUUCGCAUGAAGCGGUGUGAAAAACUCUGGUGGUAUACGAUGGUUCCGCGUCUGAUUAGCAAGUUGGUGGGGUAAUGGCCUACCAAGGCAACGAUCAGUAGCCGGCCUGAGAGGUUGACCGGCCACAUUGGGACUGAGAUACGGCCCAGACUCCUACGGAAGGCAGCAG
rnacentral:rRNA from 1 species